UAGCUACAGGCUUAACACAUGCAAGUCGAGGGGCGAGCGGGAAGGAAGCUUGCUUCUUGCCGGCGACCGGCGCACGGGUGAGUAACGCGUAUCCAACCUGCCCGCGGCUCAGGGAUAGCCUCGUGAAAACGAGAUUAAUACCUGAUGGUCUUGUUGGUUGACAUCAAUUGACAAGUAAGAUUUAUCGGCAGCGGAUGGGGAUGCGUUCCAUUAGGUUGUUGGCGGGGUAACGGCCCACCAAGCCGACGAUGGAUAGGGGUUCUGAGAGGAAGGUCCCCCACAUUGGAACUGAGACACGGUCCAAACUCCUACGGGAGGCAGCAGUGAGGAAUAUUGGUCAAUGGGCGAGAGCCUGAACCAGCCAAGUAGCGUGAGGGAAUGACUGCCCUAUGGGUUGUAAACCUCUUUUAUACGGGAAUAAAAUGCGCCACGUGUGGUGUUUUGCAUGUACCGUAAGAAUAAGCAUCGGCUAAUUCCGUGCCAGCAGCUGC
rnacentral:rRNA from 1 species